rnacentral:rRNA from 2 species
CCUACGGGAGGCUGCAGUGGGGAAUUUUGGACAAUGGGCGCAAGCCUGAUCCAGCCAUGCCGCGUGCGGGAAGAAGGCCUUCGGGUUGUAAACCGCUUUUGUCAGGGAAGAAAAGGUUCUGGCUAAUACCUGGGACUCAUGACGGUACCUGAAGAAUAAGCACCGGCUAACUACGUGCCAGCAGCCGCGGUAAUACGUAGGGUGCAAGCGUUAAUCGGAAUUACUGGGCGUAAAGCGUGCGCAGGCGGUUAUGCAAGACAGAGGUGAAAUCCCCGGGCUCAACCUGGGAACUGCCUUUGUGACUGCAUGGCUAGAGUACGGUAGAGGGGGAUGGAAUUCCGCGUGUAGCAGUGAAAUGCGUAGAUAUGCGGAGGAACACCGAUGGCGAAGGCAAUCCCCUGGACCUGUACUGACGCUCAUGCACGAAAGCGUGGGGAGCAAACAGGAUUAGAUACCCUAGUAGUC